CGCUAUAUUUCCUAUCGUAGAUAUAGCCUGCGGAGGAUCAUUA
rnacentral:rRNA from 1 species